AGUACGGAAAAGCUGAGAGCAGGCUUCCAGGAAAAGCUUCUAGCACAACACACAUCGGCCCGUACCGAAAAUGGACACACAUGGGCAAGGAGAGAAUCCUGAGGUGAGCGAGAGAACUAUAGCUAAGGAACUCUGCAAAAUGACCCCGUAACUUAGGGAGAAGGGGUGCUCCAGAAAUGGAGCCGCAGUAAAACGGCCCAAGCGACUGUUUACCAAAAACACAGCUCUCUGCGAAGGCGCAAGCCGAAGUAUAGGGGGUGACGCCUGCCCGGUGCUGGAAGG
rnacentral:rRNA from 1 species